AGGAACACUGGAGGAGCUUCACACGAUCCUCUCAUCUUCAGUUCCUGAGCAGAUCGGCCUGUUGUCUCCCAUCUCUGGGGUCGUCAUUGGAACUGCGUCUCACCACAGUGUGCAGUGCUCCAAACAGGCUCUGCCCAGAAUGGCUCCACAGAGCAGGGAUUGUGUUAACCUGAGGAGGACCACUCUCACACAGGGGUCUUAA
ensembl:lncRNA